UGUUUUAUACACAAAACAACACAACUAAUAAAUUCUUGAGAAAGUUCUUUAAUUUCAACUCAAAAUCUUUAAGUUUUAUUUUAUCAAAUGGCUGAUAAAAGCAAAGUUUUGAUCAUUGGAGGAACAGGGUAUAUUGGAAAAUUUGUAGUGGAAGCAAGUGCAAAAUCUGGACACCCAACUUGUGCUUUAGUUAGAGAGACCACAAUUUCUGAUCCUGUUAAGGGCAAAAUUGUUGAAAAUUUCAAGAAUUUGGGUGUCACUAUUAUUAAUGGUGAUUUGUAUGAUCAUGAGAGUUUGUUGAAGGCUAUAAAACAAGUGGAUGUGGUGAUAUCAACUGUUGGUGAUGCGCAAUUGGCUGAUCAAUUUAAAAUCGUUGAUGCUAUCAAAGAAGCUGGCAAUAUUAAGAGGUUCUUCCCUUCGGAGUUUGCUAUGGAUGUCGAUAGAAUUAUCAAUGCUGUGGAGCCAGUAAAGUCUACAUUUGCUGCGCAAGCCAAAACCCGAAGAGCUAUUGAGGCUGCAGAAAUUCCCUAUACUUACGUCUCAUGUAACUAUUUUGCUGGUUGUUUCUUACCAAAUUUGGUCCAGACAGGAGCCACUGCUCCUCCUCGAGACAAAGUCAUCAUUCCUGGAGAUGGGAAUGUUAAGGCUGUAUUCAAUGAAGAACAUGACAUUGGCACCUACACCAUUAAGGCUGUUGAUGACCCGAGAACGUUGAACAAGUCCCUUUACAUCAGGCCUCCCAAGAACACCUUAUCGUUCAACGAGCUUGUGGCUAUAUGGGAGAAACUGAUUGGUAAAACUCUCGAGAAAAUCUACGUUCCAGGGGAGCAAAUUCUCAAAGACAUCCAGCCAUCUGUAACGCUAAUCAAUUACAUGCUAUCAGUCAACCACUCAACAUUCGUGAACGGUGAUCAUACCAAUUUUGAGAUUGAGCCAUCGUUUGGGGUUGAGGCAUCUGAAGUUUAUCCAGAUGUUAAGUACACCACCGUGGAGGAGUACCUUAGUCACGUUGUCUAAACUACACGUUUGAUGUCUUCGAUAACUCGAAUAAACUGUUAGAUGAUGAGUGUUGUCAGACAUUUUGUCUGGAAGUAUGAGUACUUGUUAACUAUGUCAUCAGAGACGGGUUGAAUGAUAGCUCUAGGUCUAAAAUUGGAUAGACAGCUCCCAUUCUAACAAGACAUGAAGCAAUGUGGACACCAAGGAAAUCAAAGAGCAAUACAAAAGUUUGAACACAUGUAAAAUCAAAGUUGCAUCACUCCUUACAAUUACUAGAUGAAAAAAAUACUUAGGCUACAAAUGAUAUGUAUAUGCUAGAUGUAUUUAAUUUUACGGUGGUUUGAUUUUAUUA